AUGUUUUCUGCCACUAACUCUGUUCUUGUGAUCUUCUUAAUAUUCAGAGGGACCAAUGGAGACUCAGUGAACCAGACAGAAGGCCCAGUGACUGUCUCAGAGGGGGCGCCUAGGACCCUGCACUGCACUUACCAGACCUCUGGUUCAAAUAUCUAUCUUUUCUGGUACGUCCAGUAUCUCAACAAAGCUCUUCAACUCCUCCUGAAGGGCUCGAAGGCAAACCAGAGGGCAGAGCAUCAAGGUUUUCAGGCCACUCUUGUUACGAGUGACAGCUCCUUCCACCUGAAGAAACCCUCAAUGCAAGCAUCAGACUCGGCUGUGUACUACUGUGCUCUGAUAACAAAUAAUGCUGGAAUGAACACACGGGUAUUUGAUGAUUUCCUUGAUAAUUCCCAGGAGGUGAAUAGGAAUUUACCUUUAGUCUUUCUGGUAUGGGCUCCCUGA